AGGGUAUUUGGGCUCUGUGCUCACCGAAAUUGAAAUUCUCCAUUUGAAACUCUGGUAAUGUCAACAAAUACAGCCUUUGUUAAAGGCGUUAUUCCACCUCCAAAUUCU